GUGCCAGCAGCCGCGGUAUUACGGGGGUGCAAGCGUUAAUCGGAAUUACCCGGCCGUAAAGCGCACGCAGGCGGUUUGUAAGUCAGAUGUGAAAUCCCCGGGCUCAACUGGGGAACUGCAUCUGAUACUGGCAAGCUUGAGUCUCGUAGAGGGGGGUAGAAUUCCAGGUGUAGCGGUGAAAUGCGUAGAGAUCUGGAGGAAUACCGGUGGCGAAGGCGGCCCCCUGGACGAAGACUGACGCUCAGGUGCGAAAGCGUGGGGAGCAAACAGGAUUAGAUACCCUGGUAGUCC
rnacentral:rRNA from 1 species